rnacentral:tRNA from 1 species
GGGGGAUUAGCUCAGCUGGCUAGAGCACCUGCUUUGCAAGCAGGGGGUCAUCGGUUCGAAUCCGUUAUCCUCCACCA